rnacentral:rRNA from 1 species
UACGUAGGGUGCGAGCGUUGUCCGGAAUUAUUGGGCGUAAAGAGCUCGUAGGCGGUGUGUCACGUCGGCCGUGAAAACCUGCAGCUUAACUGUGGGCGUGCGGUCGAUACGGGCAUCACUGGAGUUCGGCAGGGGAGACUGGAAUUCCUGGUGUAGCGGUGAAAUGCGCAGAUAUCAGGAGGAACACCGGUGGCGAAGGCGGGUCUCUGGGCCGAUACUGACUCUGAGGAGCGAAAGCGUGGGGAGCAAACAGG